rnacentral:tRNA from 1 species
AUACAAAGGCGGUAAAACGGACUUCUAAUCCGUGGGCCGGGGGUUCGAAUCCCUC